rnacentral:rRNA from 1 species
UUGGGAAUGCCCGAAGCCGGUGACCUAACCGAAAGGGAAGAGCCGCCGAAGGCAGGCUUGAUAACUGGGGUGAAGUCGUAACAAGGUACC